rnacentral:rRNA from 1 species
GUGGAUUAGAUACCCUGGUAGUCCACGCCGUAAACGAUGAUAACUAGCUGUCCGGGUACUUGGUAUUUGGGUGGCGCAGCUAACGCAUUAAGUUAUCCGCCUGGGGAGUACGGUCGCAAGAUUAAAACUCAAAGGAAUUGACGGGGGCCUGCACAAGCGGUGGAGCAUGUGGUUUAAUUCGAAGCAACGCGCAGAACCUUACCAGCGUUUGACAUCCUCAUCGCGAUUUCCAGAGAUGGAUUUCUUCAGUUCGGCUGGAUGAGUGACAGGUGCUGCAUGGCUGUCGCCAGCU